AUUAAAGUGACAGAAAUAUGUAAGGAAUUUAAGCUUCCUUUAUGAAUUAAAUGAUUCCUUUAAUA
rnacentral:tRNA from 1 species